GCAACAAAUCCUACGAAGAAAGGCUUUCCACCCUUAACAUGUUCUCUCUUCAGAAACGUCGCCUCCGAGGAAAACUGAUCGAAUGUUUUAAAAUACUUAAUGGUUUCACGAAUGUAGACAGAUCAACAUUGUUUAUGAUCGAUGACACUUUGCGAACGAGGAACAAUGGCACAAAACUCAAAUGUAGACAAGUAAAUUCAGACUGCACCAAAUUUUUCUUCACCAACGUUGUAGUGCGAGAAUGGAAUAAGCUCCCACCAUCAGUGGUCCAGUGUAACACGAUUGACUCCUUUAAAAACAAGCUCGACCGUCACUUCCUUCAACUUAAUAUUAACUAGAGUAGAAAAGCAACGUUUUGGAGCCAUCUGAUUAAUGUAAAAUCACUUAGAUUUAAGGACAGACCACCAAGUCUGGACUAUGGGGUCUGUGUGGUCUGAUUUUCUAUGUAAAUCUAUGUAAGGAAGAGGGUGCUGACACAAACUAUUUCCCCUAGUUGAUUACAAAUUAAAAAAAUACUUCCCAAACCAAAAUGAAAAUAAAAACUCAAAUUAAAUUCACAAAAAACAACAACAAUGACGUUUAAUUGAUCAUUUUCCGCUAUCAAUGCCGUGAGAUCCAACAGCCUCCCCCAAACACUUCCCUAACGCAACUUAGACCCGUGAAAAGAGGCUCCACAUUCUUUUCAAGUGUUUCGCGCCAUUAAAACACAACAACUGAAAUCACCAAAGAAGUGCUUGAACAAUGCCGGCACGACUCACCUCAAGGAAGAGGAAGAGGAAGACAAGAUGGCCGCCUAAGUUUACCCCAGUCAAGCAAAACACGGUAUGUAUUUUGACUUUUUGGACGUUUAACGCCUUGUGGAGGUGUGUGAGACUGUUGUGGCGUGCUGAUCGUUCUCUCCGCCCCUGGACACCACAAGCAGCCGCCGGAAACCCUGGACACACGGGGAAAGGUGACCAGGGCUGUGGCGGCCAGCUGAGGGGGUGGCAGACUUUUUGUGUUUGUGUGUGUGCGUUUGUGUGUGUGUGGAGAAGUGUUAUUUUGUGGGGUGGGUGAGGCGACGCGCCCCCCGGCGUAAGCCCCACUUGGUUGAUUGAUCGACUUACUCCAUGCCAGGGACGCUGCUGCGGUGUGGGGGGCGGCGCCCCGCCUGUUACGGGGCCCAGGCAUAUUCACCUGUCUCGACACACACACACACACACACACACACACACACACACACACACACACACACACACACACACACAGCCUUGUCUCCAUCUGUACAAUAUGAUCCUGUCAUUGCCUUCAACAUGUUGGUAAAACUCUAGACUUACACCCGCUGGCAGCCCUCAGCCCACACCAGCAGGCAGCCCACAGCGUCCUGGGGUAGUGUUGCGCUGACAGUGCAUCAGGGCCUGAAACUAUCAGCGGUGAAUGGCAAGAGGGCAGCCAGCCAGCCACCUCCUGCCAAACUAAUAGCUACUUACCGUUCACCGUUGAUGAGGUUUCAGGCCCUGCUGCUCCGCCGCUGGUGCAGCGCUCUACGAGGGCCGUCAACAAUUACAGUGUUAGCCUCAAGAGUAAUCUUGGAUGCACUUUUUCUCAAACGUUGUAGUGAGUGAGUGUCUUAAUUGUUUUCACGAAUAAUAUCACAAAUAUCUAUUGGUUCAGUUUUCGUGUCUGAUAUUUUCGUUAUAGUAUCACAAUUAAAUAUCCAACGAGCUUGAUUGCACCCGGGAAAGUACAUUUUAUACGGCACCAUUUAGGACACAAACAACAUCCAAUCCAUAUUGAUGCAUUGCCUGUAAAGUCUUCACAGAUGUAACACCAAUCUCUCACAUCCCUAAUCUUGUGUCCAGCAGCCAUCAUCAGCACUGCCAAUCCCACACGGAGCCCACGCAGCACACGCCUUGUCACUGUCACGGCCCGCCUCUGCUGACAAGGACGUAGGGGAUUGUUUACGAGAGGGUAGCCUACUAACUUGGAGAUGCCAACUGCUUAUUCAUGGACAAAAUAUGAUGCUGUUUAAUAUGGACAUGGUAUUUUUUUAUGGAAAUCACUAAAUUAAUGACUUUUCAAAGGCUCUCAUGCACUUGCCACUGGGGCGCCCCGUUACCACAGGCCCGCGUAGUGACCCACCCCGCCCCGUCCCACACUACAUGUUAAUGCCAGCAGCCUCGCCAGGUGUGCUGUGCAGCUAUACAGACAAAGUGCACACACCAUAUACAAUAAAAAAAAACUAUAUUCCUACAUUUUUUAGGUUCACGGUUAUUAUAAGUAUUUUUAAAUUUCUGCCGCUUAUAAUGGACUUUCAAAAUCAACGGACUAAGUUACCCACCUUUAGUCCUUUAUGUCCAUGGUUUACUGUACUUGAUACAGAAUAAUAUAUAGUUAAAUUUCAGUAUAAUUAUAAUUUAAAUAUAAUUUCAUUAUAUGUUAUUUACAUGUGGUGAUGAAUAAUUUUUGUUGAGAACCAUAAGUGUGACAACGACACACAUACAACACCCAGGUGUAAACUAACCCACUGGUGCUGGGGAGACUGUGGCCAAACAUGUGUAUUUGCUGGUCCACUAAUGCAAUAUUUUUUUUUUUUUUUUUGCUUGUUAAGUCCACAAGAGUCUGCUAACUUUUUUUUUGUUAAAUCUGCAAAAACAUAAUUUCCAAUGAAUAGUAAAACUAACUUAUGUACAAAGUUUUAAGUUUUAUUUUCAUAGAAUAAAUUAAUAGACUAAUUAUAAUGUGUGUGUGUGUGUGUGUGUGUGUGUGUGUGUGUGUGUGUGUGUGUGUGUGUGUGUGUGUGUGUGUGUGUGAAAUAUACUGUUGAAAGUACUGAAAGUAACACUAAUCUGCUAAUUUUUUUAAUCUGCUAACAUUUUUUUUAGCUCACUAAUUAGUGGAUUAGCGAUUAGCGGACCUUCUUAGCGGAAUGCCCACCUCUGGUUGUGUUGCCUGUAACAUUUAAUUAACAAUAAUUUUAAGGCUUGAAAUAUAAUUGUUGGCAUGUCCAGAACCUUGUCCUCCUCCUAGCAGCUGGCCUGUCUGCUGACCCAGCAGCUGGUACAAAGGCGCCAAUCAAGGAGUCGCUGCGGUCCAUGUGGUCCAGGCUUUGGUUGUCAAUAAGAGCCAUGAUGGAGCCAAGCUCUCCAGCUGCCACUUCUGUCAAGCCAUUUUGCCGUCAUUAACGUUUACGGCCACCAUCAAAAUGGGAUAGUGGGCACCCGGCCUUAGUCAAGUCAGGUUGGGUUGGGAUAGAUUGUUUGGUUAGAUUAAAUUCUUGACAGGUUGGGAUAGGCUGGAUAGCAAUAUGACAGGCUUCAGGAAUAGUUAGGUUAGUUAGUUACAUCAAAUCAGGAUUUUUGUUCCCCUCCCCCCUCUCUAAUCAGCCAAUUAAUCAUUGGGGUGCAUACGCCGGGGGUGCGUCGCCUUGCCCACCCCAGGGCUUCUUCCCCCUGCAAGCCCCCUUCCUCCCCACCCCAAGCACCUCACGGCAUGGACUCUGUGGGCAUCCCCUUAGCCUCCUCUUCCUUUCCCCUUCUGAAAAUAAGUGAUUUCUGCGAAACAAAUAUUACAGAAUAAAGAAAUAAUAAUAAUAAAGAAUCCUUAUAAUACUUAGCAAACCCAACACUAGGGUAAGGUGAUGUACUCUCUGGUGCUAAAUCUCCCACUGAUAUACUAAUUGGACUUUGCCACACAGAUGCUGGACUUUGUGGACCCUGGCGGCCAUGGGGAGGUGUCCGUGGGCGCUGGGCAAGGCCGAGGGCGAGGAGUACAGCAUACUGGAUGAGGGGGGCCAUGGAUGGUGCAGGGCUCUCAGGAGAUGGACAAGCAGGAACAGGGGACCAUAACUCACAGGUGUUCUUCAUUGAGUGUGAAUGCCGCUGUCGUCACCAUGAACACCUGCUCGGAGGCACCAAACCUGGCGGCCGUUAAGUUUUACCCUCCUGAGCUGCUGGUGUUGGUGGUGCCCAAGCUGGAACACUCCCUGCCCAGGGUUACGACAACCCGAGGAGGCACAGCAAGACUCUGCCCCUGGCUUAUAAGACCUGGCGGCCGUCAAGUUUUACCCUCCUGAGCUGCUGGUGUUGGUGAUGCCCAGGCUGGAACACUCCCCGCCCAGGGCUACGACAACCCGAGGAGGCACAGCAAGACUCUGCCCCUGGCUUAUAAGAGCCCGUCCAGCGCUGGGCCCGGCCGCUGCAAGCUUUGUUGGGUCAAUGUGUGGGAAAUCAGCCAAGGUGGAGUUUGAGUCGGUCGGCCUCAACCAUGAGGGCUGUGUGAGCGGCAGGCUGGCCGUGAGCCUUCCAGGGAGUGCUGGGCGGCCUGGUGCCCCGGCUGAAGGCAAGCAGCCUCCCUGAGACACCCAAAGACUGGCUGACACAAGAUCUUGUGCUGGUACUGGUGGUUGAAGGCUGUGCAGUGGUGCGGACACAGGCUCAGAGCGCCCAGGUGGACCAAGGCUCUGAUACUGGUUGCCGCCUGCCUGGGAGCAGACUCACAGAGGUCAGCGCGGGGCAGCAGGACAGCGCCCUCAGCAGUGACGAUGAGUCUCUCCAUGAAGGCUGCACAGCAGCAGGCCACCGUCGCCCGAGAGCAUCCCGAGGAACACUUCAAUGUCCAGGUGUGAGGAUGUCAAGCCACCACAAGCCAGGAGGGAAGUGGCUGCCGGGGCCAAGACGGCAGGUGAAGCAGAACCCUUAAGCCUCAGCUCUUCACCCCUGGACGAAGGAGGUGUUUCUUGGCGGACAAACUCGGGAGAGUCACCAGAAAAGACCUCGAUAGAUGAUGCAAGUUUUGCUCGCUGGAGACCACAAGAGCGUUCACUCGUGCCUCACAGUGUGGGUGAGGAGAGCAGCCUGGACCAGCUCCCAAGAGGUAUGUUUAACAGUGAGUCAUGCACACAGGCAGGAAGCAGCACUACAGUCACCAGGAGACAUUUUACACAAAACUGGGUACAGAAUACUGCUGCUGCUGGCCAGAAUGGAGGUCAGGCUUAAGCAGGAUCCCAGCAAGGUGCUCUCUUUACUUCUUUGUGUGAUUUUGAAAACACUUCAGCAGCCGAGGGGAACGCUCAAGAGAAAGUGUCAUUUCUAUGCAAACCUUUCUGCAGGGGUGAGCUGAAAGGUGAAAAUGUAGUUACCACGACUCCUUGGAGAAGAGAGACACCAUUAGUAGUUUGGCUGGUGAGAAAAGCUUCACCAGUCAUGCUGCUUGUACAGGGGAGAAGACUUCACUGUAGGCCUCCAGGCCUCUUUGCAGCUGGUACUCUGGAUCAAGCAGCAAACCCAAGUGUCUUGCAUGUGUGUGUGUGUGUGUGUGUGUGUGUGUGUGUGUGUGUGUGUGUGUGUGUGUGUGUGUGUGUGGUUGUGUGUGUGUGUGUGUGUGUGUGUGUGUGUGUGUGUGUGUGUGUGUGUGUGUGUGUGUGUAUUUACCUAGUUGUGAAAUACAGGAAAAUAGCCGUACUAGGCUCGUGCUGUCCCGUCUCCAUAACGCUUAUUAUUCAGUUUGGCUUUAAAUUCAUGAAUCUUUUUGCACACACAGUCUCCUCGUCAAGUCCGUUCCAUGUUGUUCUACUUCUGUAUGGAAAACUGUAUAUCUUGAUGUCUCUCCUACAGUCCCUCUUCUUCAAUUUCUUACUAUUGCCUCUUGUCACACUUCUGUCACGUUCCACUAUGUCUUCCCUGUCCAAUUUCUCCAAUCCCUCUUGUAUCCUGUACAAUGCUAUUAGGUCCCCUCUCUCUCUUCUGCUCUCCAGUGUUGUUAGUCCUAAUUUCUCCAGUCUUUCUUCUUAAGUAUGUUCUCUCAGUUUCUGGUAAUUUAGUCGCUGUUCUUUGUAUUCUUUCCAACUUUCUAAUUUCUUUCUUCAAUCUAGGUGACCACACUAAUGCUGCAUAUUCCAGUCUUGGACGUAUCAUCGAUGCUAUCAGUUUCUUCACCAUUUCUUCGUCUAAAUAUGUAAAUGCUACUUUAAUGUUUCUAAGAAGAUUGUAUGUUUCCCCAGU